rnacentral:ncRNA from 1 species
GUGCGGUCACAAAAAACAAAGUUUUUCGAACGUUGGCUUAGCCAGCGCCCCCGAAGGGAUGAACAAUCGCAUCGGCGAUUACAACUAAUAAACGAAAUU